rnacentral:rRNA from 1 species
GACGAACGCUGGCGGCGUGCUUAACACAUGCAAGUCGAGCGGUAAGGCCCUUUCGGGGGUACACGAGCGGCGAACGGGUGAGUAACACGUGGGUGACCUGCCCUCAGCUCUGGGAUAAGCCCGGGAAACUGGGUCUAAUACUGGAUAUGACUCCAUGACGCAUGUUGUGGGGUGGAAAGCCUUGUGCGGCUGAGGAUGGGCCCGCGGCCUAUCAGCUUGUUGGGGGGGUG